GAUGAACGCUGGCGGCGUGCUUAACACAUGCAAGUCGAACGAAGCAUUUAGGACAGAUUACUUCGGUUUGAAGUUCUUUAUGACUGAGUGGCGGACGGGUGAGUAACGCGUGGGUAACCUGCCUUGUACUGGGGGAUAGCAGCUGGAAACGGCUGGUAAUACCGCAUAAGCGCACAAUGUUGCAUGACAUGGUGUGAAAAACUCCGGUGGUAUAAGAUGGACCCGCGUCUGAUUAGCUAGUUGGUGAGAUAACAGCCCACCAAGGCGACGAUCAGUAGCCGACCUGAGAGGGUGACCGGCGACAGUGGGACUGAGACACGGCCCAGACUCCUACGGGAGGCAGCAGUGGGGAAUAUUGCACAAUGGAGGAAACUCUGAUGCAGCGACGCUGCGUGAGUGAAGAAGUAAUUCGUUAUGUGAAGCUCUAUCAGCAGGGAAGAUAGUGACGGUACCUGACGAAGAAGCACCGGCUAAAUACGUG
rnacentral:rRNA from 1 species